GGCGCCAUCGUCUAGCGGCUAGGACAUCGCCCUCUCACGGCGGAAACAGGGGUUCGAUUCCCCUUGGCGCUACCA
rnacentral:tRNA from 1 species